rnacentral:rRNA from 1 species
GUCCACGCCGUAAACGAUGAGAACUAGCCGUUGGGACCCUUGAGGUUUUGGUGGCGCAGCUAACGCGAUAAGUUCUCCGCCUGGGGAGUACGGCCGCAAGGUUAAAACUCAAAUGAAUUGACGGGGGCCCGCACAAGCGGUGGAGCAUGUUGUUUAAUUCGAUGCAACGCGAAGAACCUUACCACCCCUUGACAUCCUGCGAAUUUUCUAGAGAUAGAUUAGUGCCUUCGGGAACGCAGUGACAGGUGCUGCAUGGCU